GGGGGUAUAGCUCAGUGGUAGAGCAUUCAACUGCAGAUCGAUAGGUCCUCGGUUCAUACCCGGGUGCCCCCU
rfam:Trichobilharzia regenti genome assembly, scaffold: TRE_scaffold0000468